rnacentral:misc_RNA from 1 species
GAUGAAGAACGUAGUGAAAUGCGAUACGUAAUGUGAAUUGCAGAAUUCAGUGAAUCAUCGAGUCUUUGAACGCACAUUGCGCCCCCUGGUAUUCCGGGGGGCAUGCCUGUCCGAGCGUCAUUGCUGCCCUCAAGCACGGCUUGUGUGUUGGGCCUCCGUCCUCCUCCCGGGGGACGGGCCCGAAAGGCAGCGGCGGCACCGCGUCCGGUCCCCGAGCGUAUGGGGCUUCGUCACCCGCUCUUGUAGGCCCGGCCGGCGCUUGCCGACACAUCAAUCUUUUUUCCAGGUUGACCUCGGAUCAGGUAGGGAUACCCGCUGAACUUAAGCAUAUCAAUAAGCGGAGGA